ACUUUACAAUAUUGUGAUGGUUUUUGCCAUACAUUCACAUGAAUCAGCCAUGGGUGUACAUGUGUUCUUCCUAUCAGAAAGUCAUUUUACAGUAUUAAAACAGAAAAAAAAUAAUGGCACCUGAGAUAAUUCGUCCCACAACCACUCCCUAGUUUCCAUUAAGAUUCUGAAGUUAUUUAUUUUGCUCUCCAUUGGCACUAAUUUGGCAACCUUACUCUCUCCAUCUACUCAAUGUGCGAUCUCUGUGAGCAGUAAUUCAACAUACUUGCACUGACCAGAAAUAUGUGACUUUGCUGUGUGUUAAAAAUAGAUUCCCCUUGUGAGCACUUGUGACUUGUCUAGUUUACUCUAGUUUCCGACUCCUGACAUGUCUUGGAACAUUACCUCUGUCCUUCAUUGGAUUACAGGACCUAUUGAGAAAGUCAGCGGUCACGGGCAUGUACAUGACACAGGCACUUUGAACUCUGGAGCAACGGAUACUCCUGCAAGUCCAGUUCCUGAGAUGAUUAUGCAGCCAUGCCUAUGUCUGACGUGGUCUUGGGGAGAAUUCCAGUCCCUCUCCAGAGACAGAUGUGUGGAAUCGUGCUCCACUGUGGGCCUGGGAGUCAUUGGGAAGAGGUGCACUCCGGGUCAGGGAAUUCUGAGACUAAAAUACAAGAAUCCUGUGUCUGAGGCACCAUCCAACCUGGACAGGAGCUCCCUGGGUGGAAGUGACUGUCAGCGCUCGGCUGAAAAUUGCAAGACUUCACCCAACAUGAGUUCAGGAAUGGAAAAUGAGGGCUCACAACCAGCCUGAGUUGCCAGGUAGGGCAAUUUGCCUAAAAUGUGCAUCUUUUUGAAAUCACCAAGCUCUUUCCAGACCACUGAUCCAUCACCAUCGCUGAAAAUCCCUCUUGUAUGUGAGGUCACAUCAUCUAGAUUUCCAUCUGUCUCCAUUUUCCUUGUCAACUUCUCCAAGUCACAUAACACAGUCUCAGGACACAAACUUACCAUUUUCUCUUUUCUAGUCUGUACGUUAUAGCUUCUGAACAAUGGCCCAACCAAUAAUGUACUCUCCUCAGUUUCCUCAAUUGCAGUGACUUUAUUUCUGUUAAAUUAUGGCCACCUGGAGCUUCUUUACUUUUUAAUUCUUACCUCAAAAGUUUACUUGUCUGUCCAUAAUAUUUUCUUUUUAAAAUAUUUAUUUAUUUAUUUGGCUCCACUGGGUGUUAUUUGCAGCAUGUAGAAUCUAGUUCCCCAACCAGCGGUCAAGCUUAAGCCCCCUACAUUGAGAGCAUGAGGUCUUAGCUACUGGACUGCCAAGGAAGUCCCUGUUCCUAAUUUUCUAUACUGGCUCCCACUGCCUAUUGUUUUAGGGUUCUCCAGGAAAAUAGAAUCAGUAGAAUGUGGGGAGGGGUGGAUGGAUAGAGAAAGAGAGAUCUAUUUUUAAGAAAUUUGCUCAUGCAGUUGUUGAGGCUGGCAUGUCCAACAUCUGAAGAGUAAGCAUUUUAGUUCAUUUAAGUUGCUGUAACAAAAUGUCACAUACUAGGUAAUGUAUAAACAACAGAAAUGUGUUUCUUGUGGUUUUAGAGGCUGGGAAGUCCAAGAUUAAGGUACCAGUGUGGAUGUAUUCUUAUGAAGGCCUCUUCCUGGUUCAUAGCAGGUAUCUUCUUACUGUGUCCUCACAGAGUAGAGAGGGCUAGUAAUCUGGGUUGGGCUUCUUUUGUUUUUUAAUUUUUUAUUGGAGUAUAGUUGCUUUACAAUGUUGUGUUAGUUUCUGCUGUACAGCAAAGUGAAUUGUGUAUACAAAUACAUAUAUGCCCUCUUUGCAUUUUCUUCCCAUUUAGGUCACCACAGAGCGUUAAGUAGAGUCCCCUGUGCUAUAUAGUAGGUUCUCAUUAGUUAUCUAUUUUAUACAUAGUAUCACACAAAGGUCCAUCUAGUCAAGGGUAUGGUUUUUCCAGUAGUCAUGUAUGGAUGUGAGAGUUGGACUGUGAAGAAAGCUGAGCACCAAAGAAUUGAUGCUUUUGAACUGUGUUGGAGAAGACUCUUGAGAGUCUUCUCUCCAUUCUGAAGGAGAUCAGCCCUGGGAUUUCUUUGGAAGGAAUGAUGCUAAAGCUGAAACUCCAGUACUUUGGCCACUUCAUGUGAAGAGCUGACUCAUUGGAAAAGACUCUGAUGCUGGGAGGAAUUGGGGGCAGGAGGAGAAGGGGACGACAGAGAAUGAGAUGGCUGGAUGGCAUCACUAACCCGAUGGAUAUGAGUUUGAGUGAACUCCAGGAGUCGGUGAUGGACAGGGAGGCCUGGCAUGCCGCAAUUCAUGGGGUUUCAAAGAGUCAGACAUGACUGAGCGACUGAACUGAACUGAACUGAACUGAUCAAUAGUGCAUGUAUAUCAGUCUCAAUAUCCCAAUUCAUCUAUCCCCUUACCCACCCCUUGGUAUCCAUGUUUGUAUUCUGUCUGUGUCUUUAUUUCUGCUUUGCAAAUAAAGUCAGCUGUAACGUUUUUCUAGAUUCCA
ensembl:lncRNA